AUACUUACCUGGCGUAGAGGACCGUGAUCAUGCAGGCGGUUCCCCCAGGGUGAGGCUGCUCCAUUGCACUACGGAGUGGUUGACGGUUGACCCUUGCGAUUAUUCUUAUCGGAACGAAUUUCCUUAUCGCGCGUUGU
rnacentral:snRNA from 9 species